rnacentral:rRNA from 1 species
UUAAUCGGGGCAGGGUGAGUCGAACCCCUAAGGCGAGGCGUAGAAAAGCGGUAGAUCGAUGGGAAACAGGUUAAUAUUCCUGUACUUGGUGGUUACUGCGAAGGGGGGACGGAGAAGGCUAGGCUAGCCGGGCGACGGUUGUCCCGGUUUAAGCGUGUAGGGGGUGUGACCUGGUAAAUCCGGUUGCAUGCUAACCCUGAGGCGUGAUGACGAUGCACUACGGUGCAGAAGUAGUUGAUGCUAAGGGCUGAGCUUCGGCCUGUGGUUUAUGGGCGUGGUGAUCGCCAUCGCG